rnacentral:lncRNA from 1 species
GUGGAGGAGACUUAUAGACGGGUGGUGGAUAGUAUACCUUCUUGGGAGGUGGGGGAGACUUGUAGACUGGAGGUGGGUAGUAUACCUUCUUUGGUGGUGGAGGAGACUUAUAGACGGGAGGAGGGUAGUAUACCUUCUUGGGAGGUGGGGGAGACUUGUAGACGGGAGGUGGGUAGUACACCUUCUUGGGAGGUGGGGGAGACUUGUAGACGGGAGGUGGGUAGUACACCUUCUUGGGAGGCGGGGGAGACUUGUAGACGGGAGGUGGGUAAUACACCUUCUUAGGUGGCGGAGGAGACUUGUAGACGGGAGGUGGGUAAUAAACCUUCUUGGGUGGCGGAGGAGACUUGUAGACAGGAGGUGGGUAAUACACCUUCUUUGGUGGUGGUGGAGAGUAAACUGGUGGUGGAUAGUAAACCUUCUUGG